UUUGAUUUACUUUUAUUUGAACAGAUACCACUUUUUCCUUCUACUGUUUCUGCUUGUCUUCUUGAAAAUAAUUUUUGAUCUUCAAUUUUUCCUUCGAUUUGUAUAUUUUUCCUCCGAUUUGUGUUAUCUCAACUGGUAAUUUUAACAGAGUUUUUACUCUCGCAGUCUCACUUUUCUGUUGCUUCUGCUUGUCUUCUUGGAGAUAGUUUUUCAGUGGUUGAGCUUCAAUUUUUCCUCCGAUUUAUGUUUUCUCAACAGGAACAAAGAGGCCUUAUUGGUACUUUGGCUGAUUUGUCGGAUUUUAUUUAGUUCUGCUUUGUUUCAGCAAAGGUAAUUGCAUGGCAAAUAUUUUUUUCUUUAAAAAAAUUCAGAUUCAUCAAAACUUUUACAUUACAAGAAAUUAAUUCUAUGCUAUGAGUAGGCUGCUAUUUUUCUGCUUUUUAGGUUUUUGGAAAUUUCUGCUUUAUUAUUUCUUUUUGAACUUUUUAAUUUAAAGAUGUCCGUUCCUAAAUAAAAAGAAAAACGUCAGUGCUAUGCAGAAAGCUCUGCCCAAAAAAAUCGGACGGCUCGCGUUUGUUCUACAACACAAAAUCCAAUAAAUAGCUUGACCGUAUUGGCAGGUUCUUCCAAGUUUAAUACAGACCUAGCUGAGAAAGCAUGCCAAGCAAUAACUCCAUCGUGCUUUGAAACAGAGUGGAUGGCACUGCGGUAUUAAAAAAGUUAUUUAAACAAACAAUUCCACUAGACGAAGAAUUCAUGAUGAACAUAAGCAACUACCAAGUAUAGAAAAUAUUUGCUUGGUUGAAAUGCUACUUGACAUGGAAACUGAAUUUCUGCAAAAAAGAAAUGAAAAAUAAAUACAGUGUCGUGAAUAUUACUGCUAUAAAUAGCAAAUGAGAGAGAAUGAAGAAAUUGCAAUUUUGCAUACUGGCAGAUUAUUCCAGCAAUUCUCGAUUGACGAAUUGAUCAAGCUCGAGACUCAAAAGAUUAUUCCAGCAAUUCUCGAUUGACGAAUUGAUCAAGCUCGAGACUCAAAAGGUUAGAUUUAUAUUCAGCGAAUCAAGAUUUAUUUCUAGUUGAUGUGUUAUCGGGGAUGCUUGAUAUGCUAAGAAGCGGUGAGAGAGAGGCAUCAAAAAUUGAAAAAAAAGGCUUUUCUACCUGCAACUUUUAUAGAAGGUCCUAGAGAUAUGCGACGAAGAUAUAUGGAUGCUAUUGCAUUAAUACAAUAUUUUGGAGCCCGAUAGAUUUAUGACGAUGACAUGUAAUUCAUCUUGGCCAAUUGAAUUUCAAAAGCGUGGUUUUCCCAUGCACAUUUCGUUAUUAUACUGAAUCCUGAAUAUAAAUUGCUAACUACUGAGGCUUACGAUAAAAUUGUUUGUGUUGAAUUACCUGAUUCAGAUACAAAUACUUACCUAUACUCGCUUGUUACUACAUAUAUGAUGUAUGGACCUUGUGGUGAUUUAAAUUCUAACUGUCCUUGUACAAAAAGUAAGGGAUAUUGCAAAUUUAAUUAUCUAAAAGAAUUUGCUAAUUAUACAUCGAAGGGAAAAAACUCAUAUCUAAUAUAUCGAAGACGAAAUACUAGAAAACGUGUAAAAAUUAGAAAACACUUUCUAGACAAUUCAUGGGUAGUUCCUUACAAUCCAUAUUUGUUGAGAAAAUUUGAUUGUCAUAUUAAUGUUGAAGUUUGCUUUGACAUUAAAGUUGUAAAAUAUAUCUGCAAGGGACAUGAUAAGAUUGCCUUCUUCAUACAUGCUGAUGGUCCAACUAUUGAAAUAGAUGAAAUCAAAGAAUAUCAAUCUACUAGAUUGGUUUCUCCCUCGAGGCGACUUGGCGUAUAUUUAGUUUUCCUAUUAGUGAGAUGAUUCCAACUACUUACCAGCUUCAGCUACAUCUUGAAGGCGAACAAUUUGUCUCCUUCAAAAGUACAGAAAAGAUAAAUACAAUAGUGAAUAAUCCCAUGCUAAAAAAAAUAAUGUUAACUAAGUUCUUUAUAAUGAACAAUGUUAAUGAGGUUGUCAAGAAUUUAAACUUGCGUUAUACCGACUUUGCAUGCUAUUUCAUUUGGUCCAGACAGGAUAGAAUGUGGAUAUAUCGAAAGAAAGGUACCGUUAUUGGUCGUCUUGUAACAUCUCACCCAACAGAGGGAGAAAGGUAUUAUCUUAGAUUGUUAUUACUAAAUAUUAAAGGACCAAAAUCAUACAAAGAUUUACCGACCAUAAAUGGAGUUUGUUGUACAACAUUCAGGGAGGCAGCAGAAAAAAAUGAUUAUUACAAUGUGACAAUAACUUGAUAGAUUGUAUGUCUGAGGCUACAAGAUACCAAAUGCCCUGUAGCUUGAGACGUUAUUUGCUACGUUAUUAAUAUAUUGUAAUCCUACUAAUCCAAAAGAACUAUGGCUUCAAUUUGAAGAUUCUAUGUCUGAUGAUUUUAAGCUUUUACCAAAUAUUACUGACAAACAACUUCGUCAUAUGACAUUAAACCAUAUUAAUGACACUUUGCACUCAAUGGGUCGUGACAUAAAUGAGUUUGCUCUUAUAUCAGAAAUUUUUUUAGGUUCAUCUACUGCUAGAGAAGCUAAAAGUUGCCAUUUCGAGAGAAAUAUAAUUGUUACGCAUGAGGAUUUGAUACUACAAAUAAAAUUGAACAUUGAUCAACAAAAGGCAUAUGAUGUAAUUCUUGACAGAAUAUUUAAAAAUAGAUCUAGAGCUUUUUUUGUCGAUGUCCUCGAUGGAACUGGUAAAACUUUUUGGUAUCGUGCGUUAUGAAUUGCUAAACGAUCAAGAGGCCUUGUUGCUUUAGCAACAGCAAGUUCUGGUGUUGCAACGUAUUGACGAGCAAUUUUUUUGUAACAUCAGCAAGCAGAGUUCACUUGCAUCGUUAAUAAGUGUGCCAAAUUAAUCAUCUGGGAUGAAGUAUCAAUGACCAAAAAACAACCAAUAGAGGCUUUUAAUUUACUCUUAAAAGACCUGCUGGAUACAAAGACACUCUUUGGUGAAAAAGUUAUGGUUUUAGGUGGAGAUUUCCGACAAACUCUCCCAGUUGUCCGUAGUGGCACAAAAGAGGAUUUCAUAAAAGAAAGUUUAUUAUAUUCUGAUAUUUGAAACCAUCUUGAAAAAUUGCAAUUAUUAAUAAACACGCGUGCGAGAACUGAUCCCGUUUUUCUGAAUAUUUGAUGCGAAUAGAAAAUGAAAAAGAAGAAACAAAUUGUCAUGGUCAGAUCAAUAUUCAUAACUGUUUUACUAUUCCUUUCAUUUUUGAAAAAGAAUCUUUAAAUCUUUUAUUUAGAAUAACUUAUCCGAAUCUAUAUUCAUUUUCCUGUGAUAUGGCUUCAAUGACUUCUCGUGUUAUUCUUACAACAAAAAAUGAUUUCGUUGAUGAAAUAAAUGAUAUGCUCAUUACACAAUUUUCUGGUGAAUCUAGAACAUAUGUUGCAUAUGAUAUUAAAAGGGAAUGAUCAGAGCCAAUAUGAAGAUUUUUUACAUAGCUUACAUCCUCCAGGUUUACUCCGUACAAAUUAACUUUAAAAGAAGGUUGCCCGGUUAUAUUACUGCAAAAUUUAAACCCACCUGAAGGCUUGUGUAAUGGUACACAUCUUAUUUGUCGACGUUUUAAGAUGCAUCUUAUAAGCGCUACAAUUGUGAGUGGUGAUUUAAAGAAUACUCAUGUAUUUAUUCCAAGAAUUCCAUUAUUGUGAUCGCAUGAUGAAAAUCUACCUAUUCCUUUUAAAAGAAGGAAGUUUCUAAUUGGAUUAUGUUUUGCUAUAACUAUAAAUAGAGCUCAAGGUCAAACUUUGAACUUUGUCGGAAUAUAUUUGCGAGAACUGGUCAUUUCACAUGGUCAGUUGUACGUUGCUUUAUCACGAGCCAAGAGCUCAAACUCUGUGAAAAUUUUAAUCCGACCACCAACAACGGAUAGCAAUGAUGAUCAUACAAUAUAUAAUGUCGUAUAUGAUGAAAUCAUUCAAGUGGCUGCCUUAUAGAUUCAUCAAACUGCCCAUGAAAAGGUGCACAUUUAGUUGUUAUGAACAGUUUUUCCUUUGGAAUUCACUAUACUUUUUGUAUUUUGCUCCAUAUUUGGUAUGUUCUUGGUGUGAUAAUUUGAUCUGGAUUUGUUUGACAAAAUGCAAGGACCCAAUCAACCCAAGAUAAAGUACAAUAAAUUUAGUUGCUAUGAACUGCUUUUCUUUUAAGGUUUAAAUUGGUGAAUAUUCCUUCCAUCAUGAUCUUCAGGUAUGGUGAUUUCUAUAAUUGGAUUGUUUUUCUUUUAAGUCUCAACUGACUUUAUAUUUUGAAUUUCUACAAUUUUAAUAUGCAUUUCGUGGUGGUAUACUGCUUAAAAAUUUUAUUUAGUAACUGUAGUGUUCAUAUAAGAUUUGUUGUGCGUUUUAAUGUUGGGGAGAAAGUACUGCCAAAUACAUGGUUAAGAUGUUGAGAUAUUGAAGAAAUUGCCCCCUGUGAAGUUCAAUGUUAGUUCAUCUCGCUCAUUUUUGGUGGGCAGGUUUAUCAAAUAAUUAGUUGUAGUGCGAGCAAGCUAAGUUUGAAUCACUGUUGUGAAGAGAGAGUGGAUUUGAUUAUCCUUAUAUCCUUUUGUUAUGUACUGGCAUUUUGUUUCUGUGAACGAUUUCCCGAAGAAAAGACAGGACGCUCUUCCAGUAUUGAAUCUAUUUGUUCAUAUCCUCACAUUCGAAAUAAUCCUUCAUAUUUGUUUAUUACGAAAAAUCAUGCCUCUUGUUUCUAAUGUUAAGCUAUAUCAUUUUUUCAUGGAUCACUAAAAAUUAUUUAUUUGGCCGUUGGUUGUAGUCUAUCAACAUUGAUUCGCAAGUCUAACUAAGCAAGCAUAAUUUUCUUUGUGCUACUUGUUUUCAAGUACGAAUUAAUAACAAAAGUUCUUAAAAAUUUGUGUCACUUAUCUGCUAGAGGGGACUUGCUGCACGGUUACUGCAGAGCGACAAGAUGCCCGGCUAAGGUAGCUGUAUUUAAGAAGUGUUCUGCAGCAAGAUGUUACUUUCUUUGAUAAUGAAGUAAAUACUAUUGGGUUCAAUUGGUGUGAAUGAAAAAUAGAGGGACCCAACCUUUUGAGGAAAAGGCACAUUGUUUUGGAAAAGGAGUGACUGUUCGGAUAGUUGUGUCUCUUUAGAAAAAAGACACAAUAUUUUGAAUGAACAGACAUGACUCUUCCAAAAGAUACACCUUUUCGGAUGGACCAUUGCCACCUUUCGAAAGGGUCACUUUAUGGCUAUAUAAACCUGUAUUUUUACCACAGGUUUAGAGUGAAAAAUUUUGCAUAAGAAAAAUAUUCUCUUGCUUCUAAAAACUUCGUGUGAUCAUCUCCCGUUGAGUGAGUUCAAAGAAAACCAAAAAAUUUGAGGUACCGCUACAUUCUGGUUGUGAAGCCAUUUUAUCCUGGGAGGAAAAAUCCGCAACCUUGAGUACUUUAGGGGAAUUAUUUCCUUAAGGACACUCCGUGAAUUUGGAGGACUUGGUUUUUUUCCGCUUUAUCUUAUUUUCUGAAAAAACAUACUUCUUAGAAAGAUCACUUUGAUCUUGUGUUGAGGGUGUUAUGGCACUUCAGAGUGUUCUUAUUUUAUACUUGAACUAGUGUUGAAGUUAUUCUGUUAGAUUACAGAUUAUGUGUACCCAAAAAUAUUGAAAAACAACAAUCUUAAGGAAAUAUUUUUGAAAAAAAAUAAUAAUUUUUUGAUUGUUUGGUGAAAUUUUCUUUUCACUAAAGUUUUUAUUUUCAGAAUCUGUAAAUUUUUAUUCUUUUAGUUUCUGGAGAUUAAAGCUAUAAGAUUUCUACUCCGUUUAAACUUAACUAGUGGUUUGAAAAUAUAAAAUCUUCAUCACAAGUUAAAGAUCACUCGGUUGACGAUUGAAAGUUAUAAAAACUUCAUUGUUAAACUAGAAACAAGAGGUGUUUAAAGUUACUGCAACUUUAUUUAUAGUAUUUUGAUAUACUAAAGAUUCUGUCUUGUUGUGACAUGAAAAAUGACUAACGAUAGUCAAGUGCAUGAUGUUGUAAUGACUGUUGCAACAACUAGUGUUGCCACAACGAGUCGUACAAAGAAACCCGAAAAGUUCAAGGGUAUUGACUUCAAAAUGUGGCAGUAGAAAAUGUUUUUCUACCUUACAACUCUUUGUCUUCAAAGGUUCACAUUUGAGGAAGCUUCAGAGGUGCUCGAGGAAACCUCUAAACAAGAGCGAUUUGUGAUUGUGGAGGUUUGAAAACACUCUGAUUUCCUUUGCAGGAACUACAUCUUGAGUGGUCUCCAAGAUGAUCUUUACAAUGUGCAUAGUGGAACAAAGGCAGCAAAAGAGUUGUGGGGAGUGCUGGAACGAAAGGAUAUAAGACAGAGGAUGCAGGAACUAAAAAGUUCUUCGUUUCAAGAUUCCUAGAAUAUAAAAUGAUAGACAGCAAGUCGGUGUCUCCCAAGUGCAGAAACUGCAAGUGGUCAUCCAUGAUAUCUUUGCGGAAGGUUUGGUCGCGAAUGAAGCGUUUCAAGUAGCAACAAUAAUAAAGAAGCUACCACCUAUGUGGAAGGACUUCAAGAACUAUUUGAAACACAAACGUAAGGGGAUGUCUGUCGAAGAUCUAAUCGUAAGAUUGUGCAUUGAAGAUGACAAUACGGCUGCGGAAAAAAGGUCAAGAGGAAAUUCUACAAUGAAUGGAGCAAAUAUUGUAGAAGAUAACUACAACUCCAAAAAGCAAAAGAAAGCUGGAAAUGAAAGCAAUCAACCCAAGAAGAAAUUCAAGGGAAAGUGCUUCAACUGUGGCAAGAUUAGCCACAAAUCAAUAGAUUGUCGGGUCCUAAGAAAGGCAAGAAAAAUGACCAAGCAAAUGUGGCUGAGUCCAAGAAAGAAAUGGAUGAUCUGUGUUCCAUGCUUUCCGAAUGCAACUUGGUGGGAAAUUCUCCUGAAUGGUGGAUGGAUUCUGGUGCCACCCGCCAUGUUUGUGCUAAUAAGGAGUUGUGUUCAACGUUUGCUCCAGCUCAAGGAGAAGAAAAGAUCUUCAUGGCUAACUCCGCUACUGCAAAAGUAGAAGGAAUAGGAAAAGUAUGCUUGAAAAUGACUUCAGGUAAAGUGUUGACACUCAACAAUGUCCUGUACGUACCGGAGUUAAGAAAGAACUUGAUUUCUGUAUCACUUCUAGAUAAAAAGGGAUUCAAAUGUAUAACUGUUUUCGAAAAAGUUGUAAUUAACAAAUGAGAAGUGUAUGUAGGAAAAGACUAUCUCACUGAGGGCCUAUAAGAUGAAUGUAAUGAAUAUUGAAAUUAAUAAAAGUUCUUCUUCUUCUUACUUUCUUAAGUCUUAUGAUUUGUGACAUGAACAAUUAGGUCAUGUUAAUUACAAAACAUUGCAAAAACUGAUUAACUUAGAAGUUUUGUCAAACUUUGAGUGAAAUAAAUCAAAAUGACAAAUGUAUGUGGAAUCAAACUAUGCUAAGCAUCCGUAUAAAUACGUUGAAAGGAAUUUCAAUCCCGUAGACUUAAUCCAUACUGACAUUUGUGAUAUGAAGUCAAUACCAUCUCGUGGUGGAAAAAAGUAUUUUAUAAUUUUUAUUGAUGAUUGCACUAAAUAUUGUUAUGCCUAUUUACUAAAUAGUAAGGACGAAGCAAUAGAUGCGUUUAGGCAAUAUAAAACUGAAGUUGAAAAUUAGUCAAAGAAAAAGAUCAAAAUGAUAAGACGUGAUAGAGACGGAGAAUAUGAAUCUUUCUUUGUGUAACUAUGUGUAUAGAAUGGAAUUUUCCACCAAACUACAACCUCGUAUUCACCCCAAUCCAAUGAAAUUGCGGAAAGAAAAAACCAAAAUUUGAAGGAAAUGAUGAAUGCAUUAUAAGUUCAAGUUUACCGCAAAACUUAUGGAGGGAGGCUAUCCUUACAACCAACCGAAUACUCAAUAGAAUUCCCCAUAGUAAGACACAAUUAAUUUCAUAUGAAAAAUAAAAAGGAAGGAAACCCAACUUGAAAUAUUUCAAAGUGUGGGGGUGUCUAGCGAAGGUCCGAGUUCCUAUGCUUAAAAGAGUAAAGAUAGGACCUAAGAAGGUGGACUGCGUGUUCAUAGGAUAUGCUAAAAGUAGUAAAGCAUGUCAGUUUUUGAUUCAUAAAUCCAAACAUCUGGAUAUUAAUAAAAGUACGGUAGUUGAAUCAGAUAAUGCUGAAUUCUUUGAAUAUAUUUAUCCGUAUAAAACUAGACAUGACUAGUUUAGUGGGGAAUCUAAACGACCUCGAGAUGAACCAAGUGAGGAUGUACAUAAUGAUGAGAAUCCAAGACGUAGUACACGUCAAAGAACGUCAACUUUGCUUGGAUCGAAUUUUGUAACAUUUCUCUUAGAAAAUGUGCCUCAAACGUUUAAAGAAGCGAUGUCGUCGUCAAACUCAUACUUUUGGAAAGAGGCAGUCAAUAGUGAGAUUGAUUCAAUCUUAAGAAACCAUACGUGGGAACUGAUUGAUCUUCCUCCAGGAAAUAAACCUUUAGGUCAUAAAUGGAUUUUCGACAUGAAAAUAAAAGAGGAUGGUACUAUUGACAAAUACAAGGUAAGACUUGUGGUAAAAGGCUUUAAACAAAAGGAAGGUCUUGAUUACUUUGAUACAUACUCGCUAGUUACGAGGAUAACGUAAAUUCAGAUGUUAAUUGCCUUGGCGGCAGUAUAUGAUCUUGAAUCCAUCAAAUGGAUGUGAAAACAAUAUUACUAAAUGGAAAAUUAGAGAAAGAACUUUACAUGGAACAACCUGAGGGUUUUAUGAUUCUAGGAAAAGAAAAUAAGGUGUAAAAACUUGUUAAGUCACUUUAUGGACUAAAACAAGCACCUAAAUAAAAUGGCAUGAGAAGUUUGACCAAAUCAUGUUGGCAAAAGGGUUCAAUAUUAAUGAAUGUGAUAAAUGUGUUUACAUUAAAGACACUCGAAAUCACCAAGUCAUUGUAUGUUUGUAUGUGGAUGGUAUGUUGAUCAUCAGUAGAGACAUUUCGGACAUAAAUGCAACGAAACGAAUGCUUAAGAACAAGUUUGAUAUGAAAGAUCUUGGAGUUGCAGAUGUGAUCUUGGGAAUAAGAAUCCAUAGAACUCUACAAGGGUUGGCAUUGUCACAGUCUCAUUACAUAGAAAAUGUACUUGACAAAUUCAAGUAUUUGAAAUUUGGUAUUGUCAAGACUCCAUUGGAUGUGAGCUUCACACUUCAAAAGAAUGAGGGUGAAAGUAACUCACAAUUGGAGUAUGCAAGAGUAUUGGGAUGUUUAAUGUAUAUAAUGAAUUGUACACGACUAGACAUAGCAUGCGCUUUUAGUAAAUUGAGUCGGUACAUGAGUAAUCCCAACAAAACUCAUUGGAUGACAAUGAAAAGAGUUUUGGGGUAUAUAAAAUACACUCAAGACUAUGCUUUGCAUUAAAAUAAAUAUCCCGCAGUAUUUGAAGGAUAUAGUGAUGCAAAUUGAAUCACCGGAUCAAACGAAGUAAAAUCCACGAGUGGAGGAGCGGUCUCAUGGAAAUCAUCCAAACAGAUAUAUAUUGCUCGCUCCACAAUGGAAUCAAAAUUUAUUGCGUUAGAUAAAGCCGGUGAAGAAGCAGAAUGACUCCAAAAUUUCUUGGAAGAUAUUCCUUAUUGGUCCAUACUAGUGGCACCAGUAUGUAUGCACUACGAUAGCCAAAUGACAAUAGGUAGGGUAGAAAGCAUGAUGUACAACGGUAAAUCUCGUCACAUAAGACUGAGACAUAAUACCGUUAGAGAACUUCUCUCUUGUGGAAUUAUCACUAUUGACUAUGUAAAGUCAAAGGAUAAUGUGUCGGAUCCACUUACAAAAGGCUUGUUUAGAGAAGGAGUUGAGAGGACAUCCAAGGGAAUGGGUUUACGGCCUAGGACAAGUCAGCAUGACGGUAACUCUACCUAGCAGACUGGAGAUCCCAAGAGCUAGGUUCAAGGAGAUCAAACAAAGUUGUGUCUGAUAGGUUCAACAUUAUCAAUAUACCCAACCAUUCUCAUGAUGUAGAAAAUAUUUAAUAAAUAAGGAUAAGACUUAUGGUGUGAAGUCUUUUAAUGAUUAUCUAAAUUUGGCAGAUUUGACCAAAUAGUUUAAUCUAGAGGAUUGAACGUUUAGAAAUCACCUAUGUGAGGGCAAAUUUGAAGCUGUUCAAGGUGAAUGUUAGUAAAGGCUUAUUCUCUAAGCUCUCAUAAGAUCGGGACGUGUUCAUGGUUGAAACGAAUAAAAUUGUGAGAACCAUAAACGGUAAAAGACUGAUUGUAUGACAUGUGUUGUCUAGGUGUACAUUAAAGCUUGACGGUUCAAAGAUAUCAAAUCUACCGAUUGACCGAGUGCAUUCGAUGCAUGUUCACUACAAAAAGUUCAAAGGGAAACCCACUUAUCCAGAUGCAAUCAGUCUUUGCUUGAUGAUCACAUACUUGUCCGUAAAGUUUUACGAAGAAUAGUCAUUCUCCAUUCAUGUGGGAGAUUGUUGGGUUCAGUUGGUGUGAAUGGAAAAUGGAGGGACACAAUCUUUUGAGGAAAACACACAUUGUUUUGGAAAAGGAGUGACUGUUCGGAUAGUUGUGUCUGUUCAGAAAAAGACACAAGUGAAAAAUUCUGCAUAAGAAAAAUAUUCUCGUACUUUUAAAAACUCUGUGUGAUCAUCUCCCGUUGAGUGAGUUCGAAGAAAAUUAGAAAGUUUGAGGUACCACUACAUUCUGGUUGUGAAGCCAUUUUAUCUUGGGAGAAAAAUUCCCCAACCUCAGGUACUUGAGGGAAAUUAUUUCCUUAAGGACACUCCGUGAAUUCGGAGGACUUGGCUUUUUUCUGCUUCAUCUUAUUUUCUGAAAAAACAUACUUCGUAGAAAGAUCACUUUGAUCUUGUGUUGAGGGUGUUGUGGUGCUUCAUAGUGUUCUUGUUUUAUACUUGAACUAGUGUUGAAGUUAUUCUGUCAGAUUACAGAUUAUGUGUACCCGAAAGCAUUGAAAAACAACAAAUGCAGGGUAAGUUAUUGGGAAAAUGUCAGGUCGCAUUUUUAUCAUACAAGAUGCUAUCGGCGAUAAGGUACGGCAAGUAAUACUGCCCUGAUUUUUUUGCUUAUACAAAAAACAAUCAAUUCACAAAUCACAAUAUCCGUACUGAAAUAAAACCAAAAUACCCUUUUUUGCUCAAGCAGACAUGUUGGCCAUGUCCUGUUUGCUUGAGCAGCUACAUCACGACUUAUUAUAUAGGAGAGAAGAAAAAAUUCUCUGUAGUUGUCUGUAAUUCUCUUUCUUAUUUUCCACUUUCCAACUAUUGAUUAUGCUCAGAUGGGGAAAAUCAUAGGGUGCAGAUCACUGUUUAUAGAAGGCUUUAUUAUUGCCUUCAUCUAGCACCUGUUAUGCUUUCGCCCAUUAUUCCGCUGGUAAUAGUUGUUGGCGUCAUGUUCUUCUUCAUGUCUAGAGAGGCUUCCCAUUCUAAGGCAGCCAAUGUAGUUGAGCAAACAAUUCGUUCCAUCAGAACAGUAAGGCUUUAACCUUAGAAUUAUCUCUCAAUUUAUGUGUGCUUGUUCUCCAUGAUUAUUUUCUUGGUUUCAGCUUGCAAGAAAAAUGCUACAGUUUUGAGGAUGCACAUCUAGACACCUCAACUCAUUCUAUUGUGUCAGUUGAAGACUCCAAUUUACAAAAUUAUCAACACCGUGUCACAUCUGCAUUAGGUGUUGACGAGACACAUUGGGAAUGAGUUGGGGUGUUUAAUUGUCAAUUGAGGCCAAGUUGAAGUGUCUACAUGUACUGGGCGAGGCCAAAUCUGGGAUUCUAACGGGAAAACAUACUCUCUCUAACUUUUGGACAAAAUCUACACUGCACAUUGUAUAGCUUGCAUCAUUUACCUCUGCAAUUAUGCUUUGGCUUUCUGAUAUGAUGGAAAGAUGGUCUUGGAGAAAGGUUACACAGGAGGUUCAGUGUUGGACAUAAUUCUAGCUUUGGUAUAUUCUUCAUUGUCAAUAGGUCAGGCAUCUCCUUGCUUUGGUGGAAUCGGAAGUGGGAAGUCCGCAAUUAUUAGUUUAAUCGAGAGAUUCUAUGAUUUUAUAGACGGGUAUUGAAAGCAGUUGUUGUGCACAAUACAAGUGAGCUUGAGUUUACACAAUAUCCGUCCCAAACCCCACUCGUGGAAUUAUGCUUGGUUUGUUACUGUUGUUGGACAAAUUGAAACGGAGGGAGGAAGGUUUUUUUACUCUGUUUGUGGUCUGGGAUUGGAAAUUGACUGUGUUGUGUGUAAAUCACAUUGAUAUAUUUGUCUGAAGUCACAUGCACAAAGGAAGAAUUCCAUUUGUUUUUUUCCUAGUUGUUUACCUUCUAAAUACUUUCUUGAUUAGCCUUGUAAUUGGUAGUUCUUACAAUAGCAGAUGAAAAUCAUUGUUCAUCUAUUUUUUUUUCUUUUUUUGAACUGGUUUGUAAUGCAUGCUUUUACUUAAGCGGAGGGUCUAUCAGAAACAACCUCUCUACCUUGUACAAGUAAGGUCUGUGUACAUUCUAACUUCGUAAGGUUGAAAUAUUUUUUAUAGUAGUUUGGUUC